GGCAGGCGAGGGGCCGCAAGCAUCCCCCACAGCCACCGAGAGGGCAUCCCUGCAGGGAAAUCAUAUCCGACAUGCCUGUGCCCACAGCAGACUUAAGACUGCCUCUAAAAUGUCCAUGAAGCCAUUGUCCAGUAGAGCUGUUAGUUUUAACACCAGUUCAUAGGUGGAAGGGACUUGCCUUGUCUCAGAUGAGACUUUGGACUGUGGAUUUCUAAGUUAAUGCUGAAAUGAGUUAAGACUUUUGGGGACUGCUGGGAAGUCUCAGGUAUGUCUUUAUCAGCAGCAUGAAAACGGACUAAUAUAGCACCUCUGCUGACAGCUAUAGGACCAAGGACUGUAGACCCAAAUGCAGCAGCCACACGUAUUUUCCUGUCAUGAAGAUUUUCUUUAAUAAAGCUGCAAGUUUUGGGGAAAGUAUGUGUGAUGACUGGGAACUGAUUCCCGAAGGCUAGCUGCAAACCACGACUGGGAAAGAAGCAGGAUGGGCCCAGACUUUGCGGUGGCUGCUGUCCACCAGAACAUUCAGGUUCAGAAGGGUCGUGGGGGUCCCCGAGCCUGCUGAAAGAUGAGGCCCAGUCCUGGCUCCACUCAACUUACCGCACCCAUGCUUCAUUGCUCCUCAAAGCACUCACGACUCUGAUAUUUUGCUUCUAUAUUUGCUUCUUAUUUGUCUCCCAUCACUAGGAUGAAAUCUUCCAGAGAGCAAUGGUUUUCUCUGUCUUAUUCACUGUUGUAAAUAGUGCCUGGCACAUAGUAGGCACUGAAUAAAUAUUUGUUGAAUCAAUGCAUGAAUGA
ensembl:lncRNA LINC00261 long intergenic non-protein coding RNA 261